rfam:Rattus norvegicus chromosome 6, whole genome shotgun sequence.
GGGGAUUUAGCUCAGCGGUAGAGCGCUUGCCUAGCAAGCACAAGGCCCUGGGUUCGAUCCCCAGCUCUG